rnacentral:misc_RNA from 1 species
UUGACGAUUGACUCAUGUUGCCUCGGCGGGUCCUCCCGCCAGAGGAUACAUCAAAACUCCUGUUUUAACGGUGUUGUCUGAGCUACAAGCAACGAAUCAAAACUUUCAACAACGGAUCUCUUGGUUCUGGCAUCGAUGAAGAACGCAGCGAAAUGCGAUAAGUAGUGUGAAUUGCAGAAUUCAGUGAAUCAUCGAAUCUUUGAACGCACAUUGCGCCCCUUGGUAUCCCGAGGGGCAUGCCUGUUCGAGCGUCAUUUCACCACUCAAGCCUGGCUUGGUGUUGGGCGACGUCCCCCUUUAGGGACGCGCCUCGAAACGCUCGGCGGCGUGGCACCGGCUUUAAGCGUAGCAGAAUCUUUCGCUUUGAAAGUCGGGGCCCCGUCUGCCGGAAGACCUACUCACAAGGUUGACCUCGGAUCAGGUAGGGAUACCCGCUGAACUUAAGCAUA